rnacentral:lncRNA from 1 species
AAAGGCGAUGGUGAACUGCGUAUCUGGCUACAGCAGCGUCGAAGACGAAACUAGGUUGGGGUUCUGAUUUUGCAAUUUAGAUUUUUAGUUGUUCUCUGACUUUAGGGGUUUCUGUUCUGACAAUCAAAUUUCUUCUACAAUUUGAGAUGUAGGUUUUCGUUCGAAAUUGGAUUUAGGGUUUUCCUGUUCUUGGGGUUUUUGUCGC